rnacentral:rRNA from 1 species
CCGUGAGUGAAGAAGGCCUUAGGGUUGUAAAGCUCUUUUACUUGAUGAAGAUGAUGACGGUAAUCAGAGAAUAAGUUCCGGCAAACUUCGUGC